GCAAUUCCAGGUAAUCCUCCUGGAGGCCACUGCUAUGGGAGUCCGACAUAGCCAUGCAAGUCAGCUGGGCUUCGGCCUGGCGGCGAACGGCCUAGUAACACGUAGCCAACCUGCCCUCAGGACGGGGAUAACCUCGGGAAACUGAGGCUAAUACCCGAUAGGAGAUAGGUACUGGAAUGUCCUAUCUCCCAAAUCGUGACUUCGGUCACGGCCUGAGGAUGGGGCUGCGGCCGAUUAGGUUGUUGGUGGUGUAACGGACCACCAAGCCUACGAUCGGUAGGGGCCCUGAGAGGGGGAGCCCCAGGAAGGACACUGAGACAAGGGUCCUAGCCCUACGGGGUGCAGCAGGCACGAAUUUUCUGCAAUGCGCGAAAGCGCGACAGAGGGACUCCCAGUGCCUGUACUCUGUACAGGCUUUUGCCAAGUGUAAAAAGCUUGGCGAAUAAGGGGUGGGCAAGACGGGUGCCAGCAGCCGUGGUAACACCCGCAGCCCAAGUGGUGGCCAAUAUUAUUGGGCCUAAAGCAUCCGUAGCCGGCUCAGUAAGUCCGUGGUGAAAUCGUCUGGCUCAACCAGACGGCGUGCUGCGGAUACUGCUGAGCUUGGGACCGGAAAGGGGCAGGGGUAUUCCCAGGGUAGGGGUAAAAUCCUAUAAUCCUGGGGAGACCGCCUGUGGCGAAAGCGCCUGCCUUGGACGGGUCCGACGGUGAGGGAUGAAAGCCAGGGGAGCGAACGGGAUUAGAUACCCCGGUAGUCCUGGCCGUAAACGCUGCCCGCUAGGUGUUGCACAUCUUACGAGGAUGUGCAGUGCCGAAGUGAAGACGUUAAGCGGGCCGCCUGGGGAGUACGGUCGCAAGGCUGAAACUUAAAGGAAUAGGCGGGGGAGCACAACAAGGGGUGAAUGUGUGCGGUUCAAUUGGAUUAAACGCCGGGAACCUCACCAGGGCAGACAGCAGAAUGACGGUCAGUCUGAAGGGCUUACCUGACGCGCUGAGAGGAGGUGCAUGGCCAUCGUCAGCUCGUGCCGUGAGGUGUUGGCUUAAGUGCCAAAACGAGCGAGACCCUGGCCCUUAGUUGCUACUGGUUCCUACGGGAAUCAGGCACACUAAGGGGACUGCCCGCGUUAAGUGGGAGGAAGGUCAGGGCGACGAUAGGUCUGUAUGCCCCGAAUGCCCUGGGCUACACGCGCACUGCAAUGGCUGGGACAAAGGGCUGCGACCCCGAAAGGGGAAGCUAAUCCCACAAACCCAGUCGUAGUCCGGAUCGAGGGCUGCAACCCGCCCUCGUGAAGCCGGAAUCCCUAGUAACCGUGGUUUAGCACGCCACGGUGAAUGCGUCCCUGUUCCUUGCACUCACUGCCCGUCAACCCAUUCGAGCUGGGAGUAGGUGAGGCUCCACCAGGGUGGGAUUUUCCCAUCCGUAAUGGUGGAUUCGAACCUAAGCCCAGUGAGAGGGGGUAAGUCGACACAAGGUAGCCGUAGGGGAACCUGCGGCUGGAUCACCUCCUUU
rnacentral:rRNA from 1 species